rnacentral:rRNA from 1 species
AUUCCAGCUCCAAUAGUGUAUAUUAUUUUUGCUGUAGUUAAAAAGCUCGUAGUUGGAUUUCGGAAUGUGGAUGUCUUAUACCCAUCUAAAUGAUGUUUGGUAUGACAACCGCUUCCUCUUUUUGGGUUAAGUAAGAGUUUCGGCUCUUGUUUCCUAAACGUUUACCGUGAACAAAUUAGAGUGUUCAAAGCAGGUUUUCACCGCCUUGAAUAGUUUAGCAUGGGAUAAUAAAAUAGGACUUUGGUUUUAUUUUGUUGGUUUCUAAAGCUGAGGUAAUGAUUAAUAGGGACAGUCGGGGGCAUUUGUAUUCAAACGACAGAGGUGAAAUUCUUGGACCGUUUGAAGACAAACUACUGCGAAAGCAUUUGCCAAGAAUGUUUUCAUUG